rnacentral:rRNA from 1 species
UGAAGUAGUUGAUGCCAAGCUUCCAGGAAAAGCCUCUAAGCAUCAGGUAACAUUAAAUCGUACCCCAAACCGACACAGGUGGUCAGGUAGAGAAUACUCAGGCGCUUGAGAGAACUCGGGUGAAGGAACUAGGCAAAAUGGUGCCGUAACUUCGGGAGAAGGCACGCUGGCAUUAGGUAAAGAGACUUGCUCUCGGCGCUGAAGCCAGUCGCAGAUACCAGCUGGCUGCAACUGUUUAAUAAAAACACAGCACUGUGCAAACACGAAAGUGGACGUAUACGGUGUGACGCCUGCCCGGUGCUGGAAGGUUAAUUGAUGGGGUCAGCCUUACGGCGAAGCUCUUGAUCGAAGCCCCAGUAAACGGCGGCCGUAACUAUAACGGUCCUAAGGUAGCGAAAUUCCUUGUCGGGUAAGUUCCGACCUGCACGAAUGGCGUAAUGAUGGCCAGGCUGUCUCCACCCGAGACUCAGUGAAAUUGAACUCGCUGUGAAGAUGCAGUGUACCCGCGGCAAGACGGAAAGACCCCGUGAACCUUUACUAUAGCUUGACACUGAACAUUGAGCCUUGAUGUGUAGGAUAGGUGGGAGGCAUUGAAGUGUGGACGCCAGUCUGCAUGGAGCCAACCUUGAAAUACCACCCUUUAAUGUUUGAUGUUCUAACUCGGCCCCGUGAUCCGGGGUGAGGACAGUGUCUGGUGGGUAGUUUGACUGGGGCGGUCUCCUCCCAAAGAGUAACGGAGGAGCACGAAGGUUAGCUAAUCACGGUCGGACAUCGUGAGGUUAGUGCAAAGGCAUAAGCUAGCUUGACUGCGAGAGUGACGGCUCGAGCAGGUACGAAAGUAGGUCUUAGUGAUCCGGUGGUUCUGAAUGGAAGGGCCAUCGCUCAACGGAUAAAAGGUACUCCGGGGAUAACAGGCUGAUACCGCCCAAGAGUUCAUAUCGACGGCGGUGUUUGGCACCUCGAUGUCGGCUCAUCACAUCCUGGGGCUGAAGUAGGUCCCAAGGGUAUGGCUGUUCGCCAUUUAAAGUGGUACGCGAGCUGGGUUUAGAACGUCGUGAGACAGUUCGGUCCCUAUCUGCCGUGGGCGUUGGAAGAUUGAGAGGGGCUGCUCCUAGUACGAGAGGACCGGAGUGGACGAAUCACUGGUGUUCGGGUUGUCAUGCCAAUGGCAUUGCCCGGUAGCUAAAUUCGGAAGAGAUAACCGCUGAAAGCAUCUAAGCGGGAAACUUGCCUCGAGAUGAGUCUUCCCUGGGGCUUUAAGCCCCCUGAAGGAACGUUAAAGACUAUGACGUUGAUAGGCUGGGUGUGUAAGUGCAGCGAUGCAUUGAGCUAACCAGUACUAAUGAUCCGUGAGGCUUAACCUU